GCUCACUAUCGGAUCGUUUUAGAAACAUCAGUGGCCAACAGAUCGCCAGAUCGUUGAGCUGCAUUGGCGGGAUUUCGCCGUCUUCGUUUCUCUUUCUUCGCGGACGAACACGCGCUGGGCCUGCAACGGCAGGAUCCAGGGUCCUUAACGGGAUGUGCGUUAGGGGCUUGUAGCUCAGUUGGUUAGAGCGCGCGCUUGAUAAGCGUGAGGUCGGAAGUUCAAGUCUUCCCAGGCCCACCACUUUCAUCGAGUGAGCAUUCGUCUUCUGGUUACGGGGCCAUAGCUCAGCUGGGAGAGCGCGUGCUUUGCAAGCAUGAGGUCGUCGGUUCGAUCCCGUCUGGCUCCACCAGAUGGUUUGAUCACCGAGAUCUUGACCGUCGUCCGCGAAACAUCACUUCGCAUCCUGCUAGUCUGGAUAGACAGCAGUUUGCGUGUUUUCUGACAUCGUAAAGAGGAGAUCGAUCCGAGUUGGGUCGUGCAGCAUAUCGUUGCGCGAGCCUUCAUUAUCUCCGGAUCAUUUCGGCGCUCGCUUCCAGCCGUGAGGUUGGAUGCGGGUUGUAAAUGAUCCUUUUAGCGAAGCUUGACCGCCUCGCUAUCGGAACGAUCUUACGAAGCAAGCUGGUCUUUCUAGUCAAUGUCCGGCUGCGGAUAGCGUUCAUCGAGGGCGCGUGCCGCAAGGCAAUUCUGCAGACAACAUUCUGCCGAGUGUGUGGACAUUGAUAAUGAGAGCAAUCAAGUGCCUUAAGGGUGUUCGGUGGAUGCCUUGGCGCUGAGAGGCGAUGAAGGACGUGCUACGCUGCGAUAAGCCGUGGGGAGCUGCGAAGAAGCUUUGAUCCGCGGAUU
rnacentral:misc_RNA from 1 species